rnacentral:rRNA from 1 species
GACAGAGGGUGCAACGUUGCUCGGAAUCACUGGGCGUAAAGGGCGCGUAGGCGGACAAGUAAGUCGGGCGUGAAAUCCCUAGGCUCAACCUAGGAACUGCACUCGAAACGUGCAUGUCUUGAGUACCGGAGAGGAAAGCGGAAUACCUGGUGUAGAGGUGAAAUUCGUAGAUAUCAGGUGGAACACCAGUGGCGAAGGCGGCAUCCUGGACCGAGAUUGACGCUGAUGACGCGAAAGCCAGGGAGCAAACGGG